UGUAGAUCGGCCUACGAGAGAGAGACAAAAUUGUUGGAACAUUCACAAUAUUUGUUGAUUUGGGUGGCAGGCCGAGGGCCUAGUAGUGUUGCUUUCCACGUCAGGAGGAAUCGUUCCGUGCCCGGUCUGGCGGCUCUCGUUCCUGACCUCCGAGGAUGGCGGAGUGGGUGGCACGCUGGCACCACUCUGCUGUGGCACUCCUGACUCUGCUGGUGCUUUCUACAGACAAUGCUCAAUCUUCCAGCGUGCCGCAACGUUGUCCAACUGUGCCAUAUAUGGAGUAUCUAAGGAGUACAGAAAGGAAAAGUUUUGAGAACGCUGUUUCAUAUUGCAAAAGUAUGUUUCAACAGAGUACAAUUGCCUUGCCCCGAAAUCGAAUUGAAAAUGAUUGCCUGCUCAGCUUCUACCCAACAACUACAUUCUUUAUUGGAGGAUUCGUAUACAACUCAUCGACGUGGCUUGAUCUUGGGGGGCGCGGAAUUUCUUGGACAAACUUUGCACCACAUGAACCCUGGGGUGGCAUUCAUCCGAAGGCCUGUUUAACCAUGUGGAGUAAAUAUUCCGGGAAGUGGGAUGACGACUAUUGUGACAAAGAACUUCACUUUAUUUGCCAGAGAGAUGAUGAUGAAUGUGGCAGAGGCACUUACAGGUGUUCCAAUAACGCCACCUGUGCAAAUACAGAAGGCAAUGGAACGGUUUGUA